rnacentral:rRNA from 1 species
GACGAUGAAGCCUAGCUUGCUGGGUGGAUUAGUGGCGAACGGGUGAGUAACACGUGAGCAACCUGCCCCUGACUCUGGGAUAAGCGCUGGAAACGGCGUCUAAUACUGGAUAUGUCCCAUCACCGCAUGGUGUGUGGGUGGAAAGAUUUUUCGGUUGGGGAUGGGCUCGCGGCCUAUCAGCUUGUUGGUGAGGUAAUGGCUCACCAAGGCGUCGACGGGUAGCCGGCCUGAGAGGGUGACCGGCCACACUGGGACUGAGACACGGCCCAGACUCCUACGGGAGGCAGCAGUGGGGAAUAUUGCACAAUGGGCGGAAGCCUGAUGCAGCAACGCCGCGUGAGGGAUGACGGCCUUCGGGUUGUAAACCUCUUUUAGCAGGGAAGAAGCGAGAGUGACGGUACCUGCAGAAAAAGCACCGGCUAACUACGUGCCAGCAGCCGCGGUAAUACGUAGGGUGCAAGCGUUAUCCGGAAUUAUUGGGCGUAAAGAGCUCGUAGGCGGUUUGUCGCGUCUGCUGUGAAAUCCCGAGGCUCAACUUCGGGCUUGCAGUGGGUACGGGCAGACUAGAGUGCGGUAGGGGAGAUUGGAAUUCCUGGUGUAGCGGUGGAAUGCGCAGAUAUCAGGAGGAACACCGAUGGCGAAGGCAGAUCUCUGGGCCGUAACUGACGCUGAGGAGCGAAAGGGUGGGGAGCAAACAGGCUUAGAUACCCUGGUAGUCCACCCCGUAAACGUUGGGAACUAGUU